rnacentral:sRNA from 2 species
CACUCAAAUGCAAAAUAAUUACCCGUCCAUUUACUGACUUAAGCCUUCAAGGAAUCCUACUAGUACCACUUCACAUGUUUCGCAUUACUUUUUGGCCUGUCUCUUCCUUACAUAUGUAGCACCCUGCACCGCUCAUACCAUGCAAUAUUUUCAUCAGAUCACAAGAUGUCAUUAUCCAUGAUGUGAAAGGAAAUCUGAUUACCAGAUAGAUGCCUGUUAUUAUUGACAACCGAGGAGAAAGUUAUGUUUUGGUUGAUCCAGGGGUUGGGAGUGCACUCUGUGCUGCCAGCGCUGUUACAAUAGCUUCCGUAGCUACUGCUGAAGAUAGCUGAAGAUAGAUGUAAACUUAGAUUUUUCCAUGAUUCACAACACUUUGGGUUUGUUAUCCCCACCUCUAUGUCCCAUGCC